CUCAUAUCAAUACAAUACAUCUAUGUACAUCUCUACUUAUCACCAAUAUGCAGCCAGAAAUAUAUCAAGUGCAUUGAGAGAAAGGUAAGAAAAAAAGGAGAACAUUUAUUAAGGGAUAUGUAAAUAUUCACACAACUGAGGUUUUUUGUUUCAUGAAAAGCCUUCCUCUGAAGAUCGGAAAGUCAAUAUUGAACACUAGUUUGGUUGACGUUAUGUAUUUAUCUCUGACCAAGAUCGUUUAUGUGGGGGCGGAUACGGGCUUUUCAGGAAUUAAGUCACUGGAUAUGGAGAGAGGUAUUUGCUGGCUAUGGCUCGGGCUCCCUGCCGCCAUCUAGUGGCCACACAAAUAACACGCAGUUACAAAAAUGCCAAUGUGUUAUGGUAUAUUCCUAACAGGGCAAAUCUUAGGAAGAGUUAGAUUGUCUGCGUUUCCGAUCAUUUUUGUGUACUACAAAUAUUACUGGAUGCUUAACGUUGAGACUGAAUUUCUUCCUCAUCAUACAAUGAAUUUGGGCGAAUCAGUGACAACGAAGACAGCACAAAGAUAGAAUAAAGAAUCAGCCUUCUGUGCUGCCCCCUAGUGGUGCACGUUUGACAAAAGCCCCGAUGGCGCACGAUGCACAUUGACUUCGGUCUAGAAAUAAGUGAAGCUUAGCAAAAACAUCCUCAACUGAGGACUAUUCAGCUAUUCAGUAUCAAUGACUACACAUACAAAAAAGGAACAAUUCACCUAUCAUUGUGUAUGCAACCAAUGAUACCAACUGCCACCUCUUAAUCCAACCAGAACAAUAACUUAAGUACUUUAGAAUCUCGAUGAUUGUCUUAAAUCGUCCUUCAUUUUGUAUCACAAUCAUAUUUGGGUGGUGCAUUAUAAAAACCAAAAAAUCAAAUCAUGGGCCCAACUGAAUGUGGAUCUUCAGUUGGGGAAGGGGGAGGAAGGGAGAGAGAGGUGCACUCAGAGGGGAGAGAGAGAGGUAGGGGAGGAAGGGAGAGAGAGGUGUACUCAGAGGGAAGAGAGAGGGAGGGGGAAGGGAGAGAGAGUGGUACUCAGGGAGAAGACGUGGAGGUCUAGCUGGACUCGGGGAUGGCGUCGUCCUCAUAGAGAUCCUCCAGCUCCCCGUCGAUGCUGCCCCUCCUGUGGACCACACAGCUCUCAUUACAUCAUGCGUGAAGGCCCUUCACCCUCAUUGGCUCAGCUACGCCUUAACGAGGCUGUAUUCACCCUCAUUGGUUCAGCUAUGUCUUAAGAAGGCUGUGUUCACCCUUGUUGGCUCAGCUACGCCUUAAU
ensembl:lncRNA